rnacentral:rRNA from 1 species
AGCGUAGACGGUGUGGCAAGUCUGAUGUGAAAGGCAUGGGCUCAACCUGUGGACUGCAUUGGAAACUGUCAUACUUGAGUGCCGGAGGGGUAAGCGGAAUUCCUAGUGUAGCGGUGAAAUGCGUAGAUAUUAGGAGGAACACCAGUGGCGAAGGCAGCUUACUGGACGGUAACUGACGUUGAGGCUCGAAAGCGUGGGAGCAAACA